AUAUUCUUUCACAGGCAAGCAAGGACCCAGGGCUGUGCUCAAGCUGGGCUACAAGGGCUGGACCAGGGUCUGGGGUUGGGCAUAGGUUGGGCUGACUUGCAGUUGCUGGCCUUGGAGAAAGGAGAAGCAAAGCCACUGUGAUUGGAGGAAGGAGAUUCAGGAAGCAAGGACAGCUCUUAGUGUCAGUUCCAAUGGUUGGGUAUGAGAAAGAGGGAGUAAAAACUGGGGCUUCAAGAAGGCAGGGACUAUAGUUGUAUUUCCUCCCAGUGUAUUCACAGUGCAUCUGGUUCACCAAAGACUCUCAAGGUGACUUCAUCCAUGGCGGCUGUGUGGCAGCGAGCUACUUGCGCAUCUCUUCUGUUCCGUGAGGUCAUGUUGGCAGCUUGAAAUUGAUCAAGUGGGAAGCAUUUACAUCACAGAAAUUGAUACCAUGAAAGGAUUUGAGCGUUUUUUUAUGUGAAUCCAAAGAUGACAUUUACAAAAGGUGGAGAAGCAGUUCCCUACUGAGGGACGUGGAUACAAAAAGCAGAUGACACAACACAUCCCAUAGAGUUCCCAGGGAAGAAUGAACCCAGAUUCUUGACCUGCAGAGGUGGCGUACUGGCUGGAGAAAUCUCUGGCUGGCGACCGUGCUAUUCUGUCUGUCCACCUAACUGUGGGCUCCCAGAUCACCACUGCCAUGGGCAGGGGGCCGUGGGGUGGGCCUGCUUGGGGUGACAGGCUAGCUGUGCUCCCAUAGCAGAGGUGGGAGAAGGGAAUCACAUCUGGUGAGCAGCUAUGUCGUGCCAGGCACUGUGCUGUGUAUUGCACACAUCUCAAACCUUGUGACAAAUGUGUAAGAUAUUUUUUAUGUAUUACAAAUGAAGGAACUGGGCUCAGAAAAGCUCCAUUAUUUGCCCAAAUUGCAGCAGUAAUGCAGGAAUUUGAAUCCACAUUAAUCUGACUCCACAACCCAUGUUCUUUCACUGAAUUCCCAUAUCCUUGUUCCCCCUACUGUCCUCACUGGUCAAGGUGAGCUUGGUCUUCCACAAACAGGCUAGAAAAGUAUGCUUACUUAUCUUUAGCUUUAUGCUUUUAAACUAAUUCUUAAAAAUCUUCUCUGGAUAAGUCAAAGACAAUGGGAAUGUGUAUUUCUAAUACAUUAAUUAUAAUACAUUACCGGUUUACACAAUGCCAUCACCUUGUCAUUUUCUUUGACACAACGUCCCCCUCCCCUCUAGUUUAUAAAUGAG
rnacentral:lncRNA from 1 species